rnacentral:sRNA from 1 species
AGCCUGCUUGCCCUAGGACUGCACUGAGUCUGGGACCAGAGGAGGCUAGUGCUGUGGUCACCUCAGAGCUUCAGUCAGGGGUGCAGAAAGCACACAGGAGGCUCCAGAAUGAUUUAAGUUGCAAAAGCAGCCACUGGCACAACCACAGAGUGCCAGCUUUCUUGUGCCUCCUUCUUCCUGCCCCCUCCUCUUUGUCCUCUCCAUCUCAGAAUGCUCAUGGCGCCCUCUGCUGUCUGGCACAGGUACUGCUGCCCUGAUUUUCUGUUCCUUUUAAUGAGCUGGAAGCUCCUCCUAGCUCAUACCAGGUUUUCUUUUCCGGGCUCCCACAGCUCAGCCUGAGUGGCUAAAAGUGAUCUCGGACACAGAGGCUGACAUUGGCUCCAACCUGCGUUGGGGCUGUGCAGCCGCCGGCAAGCCCCGGCCUACAGUGCGCUGGCUGCGGAACGGGGAGCCUCUGGCCUCCCAGGUAGGAGACAUGGGGCUUCCCCCCACACAUCACAACUGUCCUCUGCUCACUUGGUUCCCUCCCCCGCCCAGAACUUCCCCUGCACCACUAGUAGCCCCUCUGGGCUAAUUAGGGUGUCACAGGGUGGUCCUAGGACGACCUAAGGACUUCUUCCCAUCCCAGUCCCACUGUCACAGGCUAGGCCUGGAUCCAGGCACAGUUCAGCCACAAAAGAAGUGAUGUGGUCCUGACUGGGUCACCUCACCCUUCCAGCUUUGGGGAGGCCUGGGUAAUCUGCAUCCUGAGGUUCCAGGCAGCCCUGAGGUAGGACUGGACAUAUGAGCCAUAUCCUCUAGGGAUUAUCAGCCUAGAGUCUCCACUGCUCCCACCCCUGCCAACCCCUCCUCCCUGUGGCUCCCGUGGUCCUGAUCCCCCUGAGCUCUGGGCUCUUCUGCACAGAACCGGGUGGAGGUGUUGGCCGGGGACCUGCGGUUCUCCAAGCUGAGCCUGGAGGACUCGGGCAUGUACCAGUGUGUGGCAGAGAAUAAGCAUGGUACCAUCUACGCCAGCGCCGAGCUAGCCGUGCAAGGUAAGGGGCCCAGGGAGGCAGGGGACAUCCCAAGGACAUGCAUAUGGUGGCUUUCAGAGCUCUGAGUUUAGGUGUUUCCAAACACACAUGCAUAUACCCUGUGGCCAUUUUCCUUGGUUUUCCAACAGUUUCUAAGUAGGAGAACUCAGAGAUUUAAGAAAGGAAAUGAGACACAGGGUUGACAGCUGCCAGAGGGCAGGGUCUCUGACUUGUUCCAUGUCUGGCACACAGUAAAUGUUUGCUGCAGUGAGUGAAAAAAACAGAAACCAAAUCAAUCAGAUUUGUGUAACCCAACCCUUUCAGCUAUGUGAGCUUUGGCAAGUUACUUAGUGUUUCUGUGUUUCAGUUUCUUGAUUAUAAAAUAUAGGCAAUAAUAGUCCUGCCCUCCUGGGCUGCUGUAUGGAACAAGUGAGAUGAAAGAGGUACAGCAUAAAGGGCCUGCCCACCAUACAGCAGGUGCCCGGGAAAUGUGAGCCAGUGCUAAUAUUUAGUUGUGUGACUUGAGCUCACUGAGCCUCAGUUUCCUCAUCCAUAAAAUGGACACAGUGAUACCCACCACAUCAGGUUUUAGUGAAGCUUUGCUAAGAAGCAUUCAUUCGUUCCUUCAUCCAUUCAACCACUACUUACUCAACACUGCACAGGGGAUGAAUAUAAAAGAUACGGUCUCCGCCUUUAAGUAGCUUACAAUCCAGUAGAGGGAAAGGGACAAAUAAACCCCAAAUCAAACAAUUAAAUAAUUUCAGCUAGCCAUCAAAUAUAGUAUAAAGAAAAUCCAGGCAGGGUGCAGUGGCUCAUGCCUGUGUAAUCCCAGCACUUUGGAAGGCAGGGGUGAGUGGAUCUCCUCAAGCUCAGGAGUUCGAGACCAGCCUGGGCAACAUGGUGAAACCCCAUGUCUAUGAAAAACACAAAAUUUAGCCAGGCAUGGUAGCACACACGUGUAGUCCCAGCUACACAGGAGGCUGAGGCAGGAGAAUCACUUGAGCCCUGGAGGCAGAGGCUGCAGUGAGCUGAGAUUGUGCCAUUGCACUCCAGCCUGGGCAAC